rnacentral:misc_RNA from 1 species
AAAAUGCGAUAAGUAAUGUGAAUUGCAGAAUUCAGUGAAUCAUCGAAUCUUUGAACGCACAUUGCGCCCGCCAGUACUCUGGCGGGCAUGCCUGUCUGAGCGUCAUUUCAACCCUCAGGGCCCGUCCGCGGGACCUGGCGUUGGGGAUCAGCCCACCCCCUCGGGGGGGCUGGCCCUGAAAUAUAGUGGCGGUCCUCUCGCGAUCUCCUCUGUGCAGUAGUUAAUACCUCGCAGCUGGAUAGCGGUUGGGCCACGCCGUAAAACCCCCCACUUCUCAAGGUUGACCUCAGAUCAGGUAGGAAUACCCGCUGAACUUAA